AGUGAACGCUGGCGGUAGGCCUACACAUGCAAGUCGAACGGCAGCACCGUAAGAGCUUGCUCUUACGGGUGGCGAGUGGCGGACGGGUGAGGAAUACAUCGGAAUCUACUUUUUCGUGGGGGAUAACGUAGGGAAACUUACGCUAAUACCGCAUACGACCUACGGGUGAAAGCAGGGGAUCCUCGGACCUUGCGCGAUUGAAUGAGCCGAUGUCGGAUUAGCUAGUUGGCGGGGUAAAGGCCCACCAAGGCGACGAUCCGUAGCUGGUCUGAGAGGAUGAUCAGCCACACUGGAACUGAGACACGGUCCAGGCUCCUACGGGAGGCAGCAGUGGGGAAGAUUGGACAAUGGGCGCAAGCCUGAUCCAGCCAUACCGCGUGGGUGAAGAAGGCCUUCGGGUUGUAAAGCCCUUUUGUUGGGAAAGAAAAGCAGCAGGUUAAUACCCCGCUGUUCUGACGGUACCCAAAGAAUAAGCACCGGCUAACUUCGU
rnacentral:rRNA from 1 species